rnacentral:lncRNA from 1 species
UUCUAAGCCCUCUAAGCGACAGGUUAAGCUUUCGCCAGGGGAUCAGAUUGGCCUCAUGCGGUUGUGGUCUCGGCUUCCCUCCAGUAGAAGGAAGACUGUGGCCCAGCAAUCGAUCAUUCCUCUCCCCACGAUUCUCCCCACUCACCUUCCUCCAAGCCCAUUGAGGCCUCUGUUCAUUCAGGUCUGAGUGCUCGCCCAUGGGUGGGUUGCCCUCCCGCUGAUGGCUGAUGGCAGAGUGUUCUUGCUCAUACCCUCUGCCUCAGGCCACAGAAUCCGCCUCAGGCCACAGAAGCCCCGAAGGCCCAGCCUUGGCCUUCAGGUGGCCGCCAUUCUUUCCACCAUGCCACGCUCACCUCCACCUUCAAGCCGUCCUCGAAGGCCUGGCUGAGGUUUUUCCAUCGGCCCGACCCUGGAGAGCAGGGGGCCGGUGGAGUUGUGGAUGCCACUACCAUCCAGGCAUAAUCGUUGGCAGGAAAAAAGUCGCUGCAGCCAGAAGGGCGAGAGAGCUCCUAGCGUCAGUGCGCAGGAUAGGGACUGAGGCUGCUCUGGGCCCCGCGUCCCCCACUGCCAGCUCACUGGGCACAGGACAAGGCCGUGGUGGGUAGGUAGAGGGCCUGGUGGAAGAAGGCCGCACUAACUUAGCUCGCUGAGCUCUCUGCUGGAACUCAUAAAUUAUUGUUAUUUUGAAAUAGGUAAAGGAAUCUGACAGCAUUCCUUCAAAUACAGGAAGGAGCUGAACAAGGAUGACGUCAAUGAAUAUGCCAAACUGGACAGAGAAAACUCAUGAGACUCA